AGAUUGAACGCUGGCGGCAUGCCUAACACAUGCAAGUCGAACGGCAGCACAGAGGAGCUUGCUCCUUGGGUGGCGAGUGGCGGACGGGUGAGUAAUACAUCGGGACCUACCCAUGACGUGGGGGAUAACCUCGGGAAACCGGGACUAAUACCGCAUACGUCCUACGGGAGAAGGCGGGGGACCUUCGGGCCUCGCGCGUCUGGACGGACCGAUGUUCGAUUAGCUUGUUGGUAAGGUAAUGGCUUACCAAGGCGACGAUCGAUAGCUGGUCUGAGAGGAUGAUCAGCCACAUUGGGACUGAGACACGGCCCAAACUCCUACGGGAGGCAGCAGUGGGGAAUAUUGGACAAUGGGCGCAAGCCUGAUCCAGCCAUGCCGCGUGAGUGAUGAAGGCCCUAGGGUUGUAAAGCUCUUUUGUGCGGGAAGAUAAUGACGGUACCGCAAGAAUAAGCCCCGGCUAACUUCGUGCCAGCAGCCGCGGUAA
rnacentral:rRNA from 1 species